rnacentral:rRNA from 1 species
AGAGUUUGAUCCUGGCUCAGAACGAACGCUGGCGGCAGGCCUAACACAUGCAAGUCGAGCGCGCCUUCGGGUGAGCGGCGGACGGGUUAGUAACGCGUGGGAACGUGCCCUUCUCUACGGAAUAGCCUCUGGAAACGGAGAGUAAUACCGUAUACGCCCUUUGGGGGAAAGAUUUAUCGGAGAAGGAUCGGCCCGCGUUAGAUUAGGUAGUUGGUGGGGUAACGGCCUACCAAGCCUACGAUCUAUAGCUGGUUUUAGAGGAUGAUCAGCAACACUGGGACUGAGACACGGCCCAGACUCCUACGGGAGGCAGCAGUGGGGAAUCUUAGACAAUGGGGGCAACCCUGAUCUAGCCAUGCCGCGUGAGUGAUGAAGGCCUUAGGGUCGCAAAGCUCUUUCGCCUGUGAUGAUAAUGACAGUAGCAGGUAAAGAAACCCCGGCUAACUCCGUGCCAGCAGCCGCGGUAAUACGGAGGGGGUUAGCGUUGUUCGGAAUUACUGGGCGUAAAGCGCGCGUAGGCGGAUUAGAAAGUUGGGGGUGAAAUCCCGGGGCUCAACCCCGGAACUGCCUCCAAAACUGCUAGUCUAGAGUUCGAGAGAGGUGAGUGGAAUUCCGAGUGUAGAGGUGAAAUUCGUAGAUAUUCGGAGGAACACCAGUGGCGAAGGCGGCUCACUGGCUCGAUACUGACGCUGAGGUGCGAAAGUGUGGGGAGCAAACAGGAUUAGAUACCCUGGUAGUCCACACCGUAAACGAUGAAUGCCAGUCGUCGGGUAGUAUACUAUUCGGUGACACACCUAACGGAUUAAGCAUUCCGCCUGGGGAGUACGGUCGCAAGAUUAAAACUCAAAGGAAUUGACGG